UUAUUAAUUUAUGUUUUACUCUGACAACAAAAAAUUCAGAAUUUUAAAAGGUCUUUGGCGAACGCUCGUCAAUAGUGUAUCGACGUGGGAAUAUUCCCAAGAUUCGCCAAAGCAACAAAGUAAUUUAUUAACACAGGGUGAAGAGGCAGGGCCGAAGCCCCGGGAACCGAAAUUCCCUCUCUUUAAUGAUCCUUCCGCAGGUUCACCUACGGAAA
rnacentral:misc_RNA from 1 species